ensembl:lncRNA
UCUCAAACAACACUACUGUAUGGGUUUCAGUGAACUGGUAAUUUACAGUUGAGAUUAUAUUUUUGACUUGCUAUUUUAGAAUUAUCAUAACAUCACCCUGAAGGCUUUUUUUCAUGCAGUGAUAUAUGUUUAGAAAAUUCCAGCAUUACUCUAUAGAACUACUGGGAAUUUAAGGUGAAUUAUCUGGGAUUCAUAAAGUUAAGUGUGAGAGAGAAAAACUUGAGUGAAGGACACUGCAGAAGACCUCCUCCUGCUUUCUAGGAUAUCCUGUCCAGGUGGCUUGAACACAGGUCUUGCUGGUUGAACAUGUAAAUUUACAUCCCCUCAGGCAAAGGAAGGAGACUUCAUCAUAAAACAACUGUUUAAAGGCAAGAAUUGCUUGCAGAUCCUGAGCAAACCAGGAAGCCGCAUAGUCUGGCAUUUCUCAAAGGCAGGUAGAAGAACAAGACCACCUAUAUCUUACUCAUACUGAGAACUCUGCACUUCUUCCUUUGACAGGGCAAGACCACUUCAAGACUCCUUUCCUUGCAUCUACUUUUUUGUGUGUAUCUCUUUAGGAAAAAUAAAAAAUAUUGUCCAAACAUGGUUAGAUGAUGUUUCUCAAGUUUUACAGCUGUCUGGAAAAGUCUACUUUCUCAUCAAGGCUGGAAUUACAUUAAGCAUUUUUUUUUCCUUUGGAAUCGUUGGCUACAGCUAGAGGAACUGGUAUACACUGUGCGCCUCCAUAAACAGUAGUCUUGUACACAGAGAUUGUUCUCAAAAUAAAAUAAAAUAAAAUCACCUGAAAGAAUAUC